rnacentral:rRNA from 1 species
CGGUCCGGCCGGGAACUCAAAGGAGACUGCCAGUGAUAAACUGGAGGAAGGUGGGGAUGACGUCAAGUCAUCAUGGCCCUUACGACCAGGGCUACACACGUGCUACAAUGGCGCAUACAAAGAGAAGCGACCUCGCGAGAGCAAGCGGACCUCAUAAAGUGCGUCGUAGUCCGGAUUGGAGUCUGCAACUCGACUCCAUGAAGUCGGAAUCGCUAGUAAUCGUGGAUCAGAAUGCCACGGUGAAUACGUUCCCGGGCCUUGUACACACCGCCCGUCACACCAUGGGAGUGGGUUGCAAAAGAAGUAGGUAGCUUAACCUUCGGGAGGGCGCUUACCACUUUGUGAUUCAUGACUGGGGUGAAGUCGUAACAAGGUAACCGUAGGGGAACCUGCGGUUGGAUCACCUCCUUACCU